CCUCGCGCUAUUGGAGCGGCCGAUGUCAGAUUAGGUAGUUGGUGGGGUAAAGGCCUACCAAGCCUGCGAUCUGUAGCUGGUCUGAGAGGACGACCAGCCACACUGGGACUGAGACACGGCCCAGACUCCUACGGGAGGCAGCAGUGGGGAAUUUUGGACAAUGGGGGCAACCCUGAUCCAGCCAUGCCGCGUGCGGGAAGAAGGCCUUCGGGUUGUAAACCGCUUUUGUCAGGGAAGAAAUCCUCUGGGUUAACACCUCGGGGGGAUGACGGUACCUGGAGAAUAAGCACCGGCUAACUACGUGCCAGCAGCCGCGGUAAUACGUAGGGUGCAAGCGUUAAUCGGAAUUACUGGGCGUAAAGCGUGCGCAGGCGGUUGUGCAAGACAGAUGUGAAAUCCCCGGGCUUAACCUGGGAACUGCAUUUGUGACUGCACGGCUGGAGUGCGGCAGAGGGGGAUGGAAUUCCGCGUGUAGCAGUGAAAUGCGUAGAUAUGCGGAGGACACCGAUGGCGAAGGCAAUCCCCUGGGCCUGCACUGACGCUCAUGCACGAAAGCGUGGGGGAGCAAACAGGAUUAGAUACCCUGGUAGUCCACGCCCUAAACGAU
rnacentral:rRNA from 1 species